rnacentral:rRNA from 1 species
GAUUAAGUUAUUAAGGGCGCACGGUGGAUGCCUUGGCACUAGAAGCCGAUGAAGGACGUUACUAACGACGAUAUGCUUUGGGGAGCUGUAAGUAAGCUUUGAUCCAGAGAUUUCCGAAUGGGGAAACCCAGCAUGAGUUAUGUCAUGUUAUCGAUAUGUGAAUACAUAGCAUAUCAGAAGGCACACCCGGAGAACUGAAACAUCUUAGUACCCGGAGGAAGAGAAAGAAAAUUCGAUUCCCUUAGUAGCGGCGAGCGAAACGGGAAGAGCCCAAACCAACAAGCUUGCUUGUUGGGGUUGUAGGACACUCUGUACGGAGUUACAAAGGACGACAUUAGACGAAUCAUCUGGAAAGAUGAAUCAAAGAAGGUAAUAAUCCUGUAGUCGAAAAUGUUGUCUCUCUUGAGUGGAUCCUGAGUACGACGGAGCACGUGAAAUUCCGUCGGAAUCUGGGAGGACCAUCUCCUAAGGCUAAAUACUCUCUAGUGACCGAUAGUGAACCAGUACCGUGAGGGAAAGGUGAAAAGCACCCCGGAAGGGGAGUGAAAUAGAACCUGAAACCGUGUGCUUACAAGUAGUCAGAGCCCGUUAAUGGGUGAUGGCGUGCCUUUUGUAGAAUGAACCGGCGAGUUACGAUUUGAUGCAAGGUUAAGCAGUAAAUGUGGAGCCGUAGCGAAAGCGAGUCUGAAUAGGGCGUUUAGUAUUUGGUCGUAGACCCGAAACCAGGUGAUCUACCCUUGGUCAGGUUGAAGUUCAGGUAACACUGAAUGGAGGACCGAACCGACUUACGUUGAAAAGUGAGCGGAUGAACUGAGGGUAGCGGAGAAAUUCCAAUCGAACCUGGAGAUAGCUGGUUCUCUCCGAAAUAGCUUUAGGGCUAGCCUCAAGUGAUGAUUAUUGGAGGUAGAGCACUGUUUGGACGAGGGGCCCCUCUCGGGUUACCGAAUUCAGACAAACUCCGAAUGCCAAUUAAUUUAACUUGGGAGUCAGAACAUGGGUGAUAAGGUCCGUGUUCGAAAGGGAAACAGCCCAGACCACCAGCUAAGGUCCCAAAAUAUAUGUUAAGUGGAAAAGGAUGUGGCGUUGCCCAGACAACUAGGAUGUUGGCUUAGAAGCAGCCAUCAUUUAAAGAGUGCGUAAUAGCUCACUAGUCGAGUGACACUGCGCCGAAAAUGUACCGGGGCUAAACAUAUUACCGAAGCUGUGGAUUGUCCUUUGGACAAUGGUAGGAGAGCGUUCUAAGGGCGUUGAAGCAUGAUCGUAAGGACAUGUGGAGCGCUUAGAAGUGAGAAUGCCGGUGUGAGUAGCGAAAGACGGGUGAGAAUCCCGUCCACCGAUUGACUAAGGUUUCCAGAGGAAGGCUCGUCCGCUCUGGGUUAGUCGGGUCCUAAGCUGAGGCCGACAGGCGUAGGCGAUGGAUAACAGGUUGAUAUUCCUGUACCACCUAUAAUCGUUUUAAUCGAUGGGGGGACGCAGUAGGAUAGGCGAAGCGUGCGAUUGGAUUGCACGUCUAAGCAGUAAGGCUGAGUAUUAGGCAAAUCCGGUACUCGUUAAGGCUGAGCUGUGAUGGGGAGAAGACAUUGUGUCUUCGAGUCGUUGAUUUCACACUGCCGAGAAAAGCCUCUAGAUAGAAAAUAGGUGCCCGUACCGCAAACCGACACAGGUAGUCAAGAUGAGAAUUCUAAGGUGAGCGAGCGAACUCUCGUUAAGGAACUCGGCAAAAUGACCCCGUAACUUCGGGAGAAGGGGUGCUCUUUAGGGUUAACGCCCAGAAGAGCCGCAGUGAAUAGGCCCAAGCGACUGUUUAUCAAAAACACAGGUCUCUGCUAAACCGUAAGGUGAUGUAUAGGGGCUGACGCCUGCCCGGUGCUGGAAGGUUAAGAGGAGUGGUUAGCUUCUGCGAAGCUACGAAUCGAAGCCCCAGUAAACGGCGGCCGUAACUAUAACGGUCCUAAGGUAGCGAAAUUCCUUGUCGGGUAAGUUCCGACCCGCACGAAAGGCGUAACGAUUUGGGCACUGUCUCAACGAGAGACUCGGUGAAAUCAUAGUACCUGUGAAGAUGCAGGUUACCCGCGACAGGACGGAAAGACCCCGUGGAGCUUUACUGUAGCCUGAUAUUGAAAUUCGGCACAGCUUGUACAGGAUAGGUAGGAGCCUUUGAAACGUGAGCGCUAGCUUACGUGGAGGCGCUGGUGGGAUACUACCCUAGCUGUGUUGGCUUUCUAACCCGCACCACUUAUCGUGGUGGGAGACAGUGUCAGGCGGGCAGUUUGACUGGGGCGGUCGCCUCCUAAAAGGUAACGGAGGCGCUCAAAGGUUCCCUCAGAAUGGUUGGAAAUCAUUCAUAGAGUGUAAAGGCAUAAGGGAGCUUGACUGCGAGACCUACAAGUCGAGCAGGGUCGAAAGACGGACUUAGUGAUCCGGUGGUUCCGCAUGGAAGGGCCAUCGCUCAACGGAUAAAAGCUACCCCGGGGAUAACAGGCUUAUCUCCCCCAAGAGUUCACAUCGACGGGGAGGUUUGGCACCUCGAUGUCGGCUCAUCGCAUCCUGGGGCUGUAGUCGGUCCCAAGGGUUGGGCUGUUCGCCCAUUAAAGCGGUACGCGAGCUGGGUUCAGAACGUCGUGAGACAGUUCGGUCCCUAUCCGUCGUGGGCGUAGGAAAUUUGAGAGGAGCUGUCCUUAGUACGAGAAGGACCGGGAUGGACAUACCUCUGGUGUACCAGUUGUCGUGCCAACGGCAUAGCUGGGUAGCUAUGUGUGGACGGGAUAAGUGCUGAAAGCAUCUAAGCAUGAAGCCCCCCUCAAGAUGAGAUUUCCCAACUUCGGUUAUAAGAUCCCUCAAAGAUGAUGAGGUUAAUAGGUUCGAGGUGGAAGCAUGGUGACAUGUGGAGCUGACGAAUACUAAUCGAUCGAAGACUUAAUCAA